CGCCCAGGCUGUAGGGGCAGUUCGCCGUGGUGAGAGCCCCGGCGCCACGUGGUCAGUGUGCUUGACAAAGGAAACUUUUUUGUUCCCCCAGUGUGCCUAAGAAAAGCCUGCGGGACGAGCGCCCGCUGCCUGUCUCCUGGCCUCCCUGCUUUUCCAUCGCUUUCCGACUGACCCGUCUUCCUCGAGCCGUGCAGGUGCACGGGGCUGGCGCGGUAGGCACAGGCCGCCGGGUGGCCACGGGACGAGCAGGGGAGACCGGACCAGGGUCAGGCGUAAAGCGCUCAGGGUGCACCAAUUGCCGCCCCCGCGCCAGGGCGGGGAGCGUACAGGCAGUGCCACGGGGAGGAGUUGGGCACCGCAGGUGGGGCGCACCUGCGCGCAGUUUUGCCGCUUGCACCGGAGGAGGGCUCGCCGAGCCCGCCGCGUGGCCUGGGCUUUCUCGGAUGCUAGCUCUGAAAGGGCAAGACUGCCUUUGGAAUCUCAGAAAUCACAGGAAUUCCGGACAGCUCGGAUGCGUGUAGCCUGAAGUGCGGUCUGGCUGAGGGGCAGCAUUUGCACGGCCCGGCCGGGGUUUGUCCUUGUGAACCGCCCGCCUGACUGCCUGGCAGACUGCAGUGCGACGGGAACACGAGUGUCAGGGAGAGUCUUCCUGAGUUGUCACGGUCUGUCACCAAGUCCAGCAAGUUUGUGGUGUGCGGCGUCCACAGUCUAAAGAGAAUCCUCUGGGCAUAGCCACGUGAGCCAUGUGAGGCGCUCUGCCUGCAUCAUACCUAGCAAAGAAACCAGGCUUUCGGUCACACUCCAACACCAGACGAACAAAGAGAAAUUAAGACGUGCAGCGUCUGUGGGAACAUGGCCCGAAUCAGCUGUCUGUGCUGAGGGAGAGCUCACUUUUGCUCUGCAUGAAUUGUACUACCAAGCCACUUUCGGAAAAGAAUUUCUGGGAUGUCAUUACCUGUGAUACUGCUCACUCUUCACUCCAUCAUAAUGAUUCAUCGCCUCUCCAGUUGUUGAAAUUGGUAAAGACCUGAGCUCUGGAGUCAGACUGCUGAGGUUCAAAGCUCAUGUUUUGGCAGUGUGA